AUCGAUUUCCAAUACUGGAAUGGUUUUGUGGUUGAAACUUCCGGGGCCUUUGGAUGGGUCUGCGGCUGAUUAGGUUGUUGCCGGUGUAACGUACCGUCAAGCCUGUAAUCAGUACGGGUUGUGGGAGCAAGAGCCCGGAGAUGGAUUCUGAGACACGAAUCCAGGCCCUACGGGGCGCAGCAGGCGCGAAAACUCUACAAUGCAGGCAACUGCGAUAGGGGAACAUCGAGUGAUACUCAUUUUGGGUGUCUGUCCUCCCGUCUAAAAAACGGGAGUUAGCAAGGGCCGGGCAAGACCGGUGCCAGCCGCCGCGGUAAUACCGGCGGCUCGAGUGGUGGCCGAUAUUAUUGAGUCUAAAGGGUCCGUAGCCGGCUUUGCAAGUCUUUUGGGAAAUCCAGCGGCUUAACCGUUGGUCGUCCGGGAGAUACUACAUUGCUUGGGACUGGGAGAGGUAGGAGGUACUCAGGGGGUAGGAGUGAAAUCCUGUAAUCCUUUGGGGACCACCGGUGGCGAAGGCGUCCUACCAGAACAGGUCCGACGGUGAGGGACGAAAGCUAGGGGCACGAACCGGAUUAGAUACCCGGGUAGUCCUAGCCGUAAACGAUGCUCGCUAGGUGUCACAACAAUCGUGAAUUGUUGUGGUGCCGUAG
rnacentral:rRNA from 1 species